GACUUUCUCGACUCGUCGUCAGCCGGGGCCGCAGCGCGGCCGGUGGGGACUGCGGGGCGGGCCGGAGUCCGUCCGAGGGCUCCCGCACCUCGGGCUGCGGUCCUGGAGAGUUGCUGUAGAAGAAGGAAAAGAGAGGAAGACAACACAACACAGGAGGGGAUAAGUACCUCUGGACACAAUGGAAGUAGUAGUUGUUGAGCAGAGGGAAAGGGAUAGGAGAAGGAUGUGGACUGCAGUGCUGCAGUGCCAGGUAAUAACUUUGAUCAUGUACCUCCUUGGCUCAGGUGCUGUCUCUUCUACUCUCCUCCUUACUUGUACUACCUUAUUUAGCACUUAAUUAUAUACUUUCUUGACUCACUUUGAGACACACUGAUUAUGUGGUCUGCCUCAAAGACAGAAUCCUAGUUUUGGAUUUUAGCAUUACUGAUCUAUAGCCUUGCAGGGGCUUAAGGAUGGCAGCUGUCUCUCUCCCUUGGGAUCUAGCUUUUGCAAAUAUUGAAGGGAAGAGAUUUCUUUGAUCUUAUAGGAAUAGAUCCACAGUUCCUCUCCAGAUUUGCUUUUAUAGAGAAGUGUGUGUCACCAAAACAAUGGAGAUACGGUCAGAGAGGCCCCUACCCCCAGAAUUUUAAUAUAAUUUUACUUUCUGGGGCAUUUAUUCUUGACAAAUACUUUCUCUCCUAUCAGCUCACUUGUUCCUCACAAAAACCCUAUAAGAUAUUAAUAUUAUUAAACAGACCCCUAUGAAGCACCUCAAGUCUUUCUCUCUUCCCACUUCCAUUCUUGCACACCUUUUGCUAGACUAGUCUCUGCGUUCAUCACAUCAGGUUUCUAAAAUAAAAGUCCCCUAAUAACUUUCUAUUUGUUCUCUCAUCAUAUUGAACCUUUUUUGCCUGGCUUAUAAGGUGGCCUUAAAACCCCAUUUUCCUCUAAACAUUGUCUCUGUAGUUCAGGAAUAUGGCAGGCUCAACACUAUGCUUGAGCCCAUAUUGCUUCCCUCAUUAGUGAUGCCUCCUCUCAGACCACCCAGAUUCUACUCAUUCUUCAAUUUCCAGCUUCUCCUUGGAGCCUUCCCAGAUCAUUAGCUUCUUAAAAAUCCCAGCUUUCUCUGAAUUCUGAUGGUAGCCCCCGUUAUUUGGACAAUUAUGUCCUGGUCUUAAAGUCCUAAUGGGAAAAAAAAGUACAUGAUGGACUUCAUGUAGAGAAGAAAGCACUGGACUGAGUUUUAAGACAGCUGCUAAGGAGCUGUGUGAGCCAAACCAGGUUACUUUACCUCUCUGGAUCUAUAUUUGCUGAUCUGUUAAGUGGAGACAAUUGGGUCAGAUAAUCUUGGUGGUCUUUGCUUAUUCUGAGGUUCUUGGACAACUUGGCCUAGUUCACGUGGGAUGGGAUUGAAGAUCUUACUGAGUUCUUGGAUGGAAAUGUCAGUAAUGGGCACUUAGUGCCUUCAGGACUUGUUCUAUACUAUCCCAGAAAUUUCUGAUGCUAAACUUGGCAAUUUUUAAAUGUCAUAUUCCUUUUCUCCAAACUCUUUAACCACAAGAAUUCAGGGAAGGUUAUGGGGGGUGACUUAGUUAUCUGGAUAAUACAUAUUGUGGACAAUAUAGCAUUAUCCUUGGGAAUGAUUUCAUAUUGUUGAAUAAAUAGGAUCAACUUCUUGAUAAACCUUAGUCCCAAGCAUUUCAUCUUCAUUGGAUAGUGUUACAUAGUAAUAUAUUUAUGUUUUCUUUUAAUCAUUUCAUAACUUGGAAAAUACUAACAUAGUCAAAACUCUAGGGUAGGUGAUACAUGAGUUUCUGUAGUAAUCUGGUUGGAGACAUGUUGUAAUUCUGUAUAUAUAUGUACAUUUAUCCCAUGCAUGUUAUGCCUAAACUAAGACGGAUACCCCUGAAUUAAGAGGUGCUGUUAUACAUUGACCAGGCUUAAGAAUAUCUCUUUAAAGUGUGUCGACAUUUAAUUGACCUUUGGAAGUUCAUUCUGUUAAUCAUACUCAAAGUGCUAAAGCUAUGGUUGACUGCUCUGGUGUUUUUAUAUUCAUUCGUGCUUUAGCAUAUAAAUUCUUCAGCAUAAUUGCUACUUAUUUAGCAAGAGUUUCCUUUAUUUGAAAAUGUGAGUUGUGCUUGUAUUUUUGUGUCUUUCUUUCUUUCUUUCUUUUUUUAAACUUUGCUUCAGGCUGGGUAGUGGUAGAGGUUUGAAUUAAAAUGUUUUCCUGUCAGUAGUUGUAUGAGGUGUGGCUUCUUAAUCUAGAAGUAAUGGAAAUUUCUUGCUUAAAUGAAGUGCACUUUUCUUCCUGCAGAAGUUAGAACUCUUUUAGACAAGCUUAACACUUCAAAACUGUAUAUCUUUAACAGAAACUUUUGGAAAUUUUUAAAUUCCAUUUGUGUAGAUUAAAAAUAUCAAUGCUAAUACUUUCUAUUAAAUAAGGAUUUAUCUAUUUUCAUAAAACCUCUAAUUAUAUUCCUUGAAUUGCUAUGAGUAGAAUUUUGUUGUAAACACAAUAUUUUUAAAAAGUCAAAUAUAUUUUAAAAAUCUUAACAUUAUAUUACUAUAACUUAGAGAACAGGUGUUUACAUGUUUAAAAUUUUCUAGGCCUUAAAUUUGUGAAAUCAGUCUUUCAGAAGUUAUUUUUAAUAUAGUUAUCUGUGUUACAGGUUUAUAAGUUGACAUUUCAAUUUAAAAUUUUUUCAAUUUAUAUUUCAAUGACCAGGAAAAAAUAGUUAAACUUAUUCCUAAAUUUUAAUAGAAAAAUAAAAAACCACAUAGUUGUUAAUUUCUGGUAAUUUAUCUUGAGACUCCAGGCAUGUUUUUAGAACAUUUUUACCUUAAAAGCAAUUUUGAAAUAGGGAAAUUAAAGUUUAAAGCAGAGUUUUCACUUUAAUGAGGUAAUUUUAUACUUCCCAGAUAGGUAGGCCCAUAUUCAAGAACACUCUGAUCUCUGUUUAUAGUAAGUUUUGAUGCCAUUAUAUCAUUUACUUAUUCACGCAUUAUAAGCAUAGUAGAUAGCCCCAUUGUCACGAAGCUGGCAUUAUUUUCUUGUCUGUCAUUCAAUAUUGUCCCCUUUUUUUUUUCUGUUUUCAUCAUAGCCGUCCUUUUCAUUUUAUUGUAGCCCUGACUCGAAAUGAAAGUAAGUUUGAACUCUUAAAAAAGAGUUCCUCAAACUCUUUUUUAAGAAUAUACAGUGAAAUGUCUUAAAUAAUAUUAUCUAAAUAAUACCUAAAGAAUGCAAAUGACUUGCAAUGCUGAAUAGUCAGACACAGGAUGUUCCAUGCUAAGGGUAGACUCAUAUUUCCACUUUAUAAAAUGUGGUUUCAGAAAACAAAUAGAUGUGUUUCUUCCUUAAUAAUUAGUGUUUCAGGACCAAAGUUGACUAAAUAUGGAAGUUUAAGAUAAAACCCGGUUUCUUAGGGAAUCUUUCUCAGUCCUUAGUAAUUCUGUAGAAUUGAUGAUAGAGUGGCAACUUCAAUACACUCAGUAUUCUUUUCUGUUUGAAGUCUGUUUUGCCAUUGGAAAAAACUUAUUGUUGUUUGAAUUUGGGUAUAUGUAUUCACAGAUGGUUUACUUUAUUUUUAUUUUGUUUAAACAAAUACUUUCAUGUCCCAAACACUGAGACAUGUUUCAUGUCCUAAACACUUUAUAAAUAUUAGAAUAUUUAAUCCCCUUAACUCUGUAGUUAUAAUUAUCUUCAUUUUACAAUUGAGAAAACUAAGAUACGACGUUUUAUUUAAUGGUAACGCCUUAAGUAAGGGGAGAGUGAUAAGUGUAAGCAGAGUGGAAAACUUAGUAGUGCUAAGGAGCAACAGAAGUAUGUGCAAGAGUUUGGGAAGAUGUGUCUGCUUGGAAAGGAUCAGGGACUCAGCUGGGAUCAGUCUUAAAGAGCAACAUGUCCUCAUUCCUCAAUUUUAAGCCUUUGGGCUCUAGAAGUAAAGGGCAAACUUAGAGGAGGCACUCCUCAGGUUUCAGCUGCCUGUUCCGGCCUGGUGAGGUGGCUGUACUGGCUCAUGUGUUUCUCAUAGGGCUACAUGAGCCUUUAUGUCUUACCUCCUCCUCAUUUCUUGGCUGACUCCUGCUUUUUUGGAGGGUUUAACUUCUCUCUCAGCUAGAAGGUUAGGCAUUGCAAAUACCAGUGGAUAAUUUUUUUCUUAGCUUUAACCCCAGCCCAUUUCAACCCCCUCUUUGCCCUUUGUAUAUUCUUUUGAAAAUAUGAUCCAGUAGUGUUUAUGAAUGUGUGUUGUGUAAAAUUUAGAGAUUGAUGUUAAACAACAGAAUUAAAGGACAAAGCUGUCUUUUUUGUUGGAAUUGGGGAUGGGAGAGCAGCUCAAAGUGGGAAAUAUGGAGAAAGGAGAGACAUUGUGGAAAAGAAGAGAUAAAUUGAGGGGAAAAAAAGAGGAUGAAAAAAUGAAGAGAGAGAAUUACUGAUGUGCUUCACACCCACACCUCCUCUCCAACUUCACAGUAACAGAGGCAAUGUCACUAUCUUUUACCUGACAAGUGCUUUACCAGGGAGUUGUGCCUGGCAUCGUGGGAGUGGAAAAUUUUUCCCUUUUGCAUUUUGAGACUUGGGUGUGCUGCUUUAAGAUGCCACUGGUAUCUAAGUAAUGUUUGUUUAUACUGGAUAUUUUUCUCUGUAGCCUUUGUGGAUUGGACUUAUAAUAUAAACAAUAUUGUUAGCAGAACUGCAGGUACUCUAUUGCUAUGUUUAUUUUAUUAGUUAAAAAACUACCAGAGCCCUAGGACUUCUGAGCACAUUUAGAAAAUACCAGAGGCAAUUUUAAGACUAGCAUUAGAAAGAAAGAAAAGAAUAAGAAUAAAACUAAGACUUGCAUACCUUAGAAUCCUAACCAAUGUGGUGAUUUUUAAAAAUUAAUGUUUCAGAGACUCUAAAUUAGGGUAGUUGGUUUCAUCAAUUACAUUUUUUAAGUUAAUAUAAAGUGCUUUUGUAUGUAAAUUCUCUUAAUAGAUAAUUUAGGUAAAAUGAAAGUGUGGCAUUUUUUGUUCCAUAGAAUGUAAAACUAACGUCAGAAUAAGAAUUCUUUUGGGAAUUUAGGAUUUUUUUGAUGCUUCUCAAAUCAUCUGUAAUGACUUUUAUUUAUAGAAAAGGUAGAUUAUUCAUUAGUUUUUAUGAAAAACACUCAGUUUAAAUAGCCGGGUAUGGUGGCGCAUGGCUGUAGUCCCAGCUACUCAGGAGGCUGGGCACGAGAAUUGCUUGAACCUGUGAGGCAGAGGUUGCAGUGAGCCAAGAUCGCACCACUGCACUCCAGCCUGGUCCAGAGUGAGAUUCCGUCUCGAACAAAACAAAACAAAAAUAUUGAGCUAAUCUAAAUGGUAAAAAUCUAGAUUUGAAGAAAUUUAUUUUAAAAUAGUUGUUCAUUUGUCAAAUAGAAAAGUAUGAUCUUAGCAGGUUUGGUUAGAUCCCUAUCUGAAACAAAGUAAACUAAAGAUGUUUUUCUUGAUCAAUGCAUAGCAAUAACUGCUGUUCAAACAUGUGAGGAAUCACCAGUAAAUUGGGGGAUAGAAAGCAGGAAAAGGAGCUUUUUUCUCUUAUUUUUUUUCAUUUAUCAGUUUUUCCCAUUUGUCCAUCCUUUCCUAUAAUCAUGGAAAUUUUUAUUUUUUACACUCCUCUCCCCAUUUUUUUAUCCUAGAUUGCCACCACACCAAGGUUUUCUAGAGUUAGGCAGAAAGAGAACCUGGGCCUAGAUGCUAAUGGAAACUAUCCCAUGCUUUCUCAGACUCUCUUUCCUCCCCAGAGACAAGAGGAGCAAAACAGGAGUUGAUGGCUCAUUGCUGUUGCUUCUGUGGCUGCCCUGUUUGGUUGACCUGAGCUUUUUUUAAAAACCUCCACUCUUGACGCUUAACUCUAUGAAUAAAAUUAGGGCCAGUCACACUGUAUUUUCAUCAUCAGUUAUCCCUAGUGAUUCAAAUUUAGCACAAACCUGCUGUGAGUACAUAUUAAUUAGGUGAAUACAGUAGAAUGCAAUCAUAACAUGAGUCUUUUAAUAACUAUUCUUUGUUUGAUUUUUAUUUUAGAAGUUUGAAGUUAUUUUGUUGAAAAUCUAGAAAAUCUUUAUGUGAGCAACUGAGGUUCGGGUAGCCCACAACAGUUUAAAUCAAACAUUAACUUGCAGUAAAACACUACUGAAAGUGUCUUUGAUUUUGAGGUGCAGAGAGCUGUUUCAAGUUAAGUUGCUAUAUUAGUCUGUUCUCAUGCUGCUAAUAAAGACAUACCUGCAACCGGGCAAUUUAUUAAAAAAAAAAAGAGGUUUAAUUGACUGACAGUUCCACAUGGCUGGGGAGGCCUCACCGUCAUGGUGAAAGAGCAAGGGAUGUCUUACAUGGUGGCAGGCAAGAAGUUUGUGCAGAGGAACUCCUGUUUAUAAAACCACCAGAUCUCAUGAGACUUACUCACUACCAGGAGAACAGGAUGCGGGAAACCACCUCGGUGAUUCAGUUAUCUGCACCUGGCCCCACCCUUGACACAUGUUGAUUAUUACAAUUCAAGGUGAGAUUUGGGUAGGUACACAGCCAAACCAUAUCAGCUGCCCAUUCUCCUGUGCAGUGACAUAAAGGUCUGAUAACCUGAUUUAAAGCUUGGACUCUAAGAUUUUUUUUUUUCUUUUUUUGAGUCAGGUUAUCUCUGUCGCUCAAGCUGGAGUUCAGUGGCAUGAACAGGGCUCAUUGCAGCCUCAACCUUCCAGGUUCAAGUGAUUCUCUUGCCUCAACCUCCUGAGUAUCUGGGGCUACAGGCAUGUGCCACCGUGCCAGGCUAAUAUUUUUAUUUUUAUUUUUGUAAAGAUGGGGUCUCACUUCUGGGCUCAAGCAAUCUUUCCUCAGCCUCCCAAAGUGCUGGGAUUAUAGGUGCGAGCCACUGCACCCUGCUGUAAAGAAUUUCAUAUCCCUGUUUUCGGUGUGCUGUGUCACUGUUUGCCAUGGGUAAAGGUAUAUGAAUCUCUUUUAUUUUGCUGCUUGCAACCCAAUUCCCAUGCCAAACCCAAUUUGUAUCCAAACAAACAAUAUUGGAGACAAGUUCUUCUAUAGAAAGCUUCAUAAGCCAGUUACUGACUACUGUGUCUGUAAAUAUACUCAAACUAUUUUGUAGUCUUGCUAUUUUAAAAAAUGUGUGGGUGUGGGAAGUGAUGUUGAAUGAAUUCAGGGUAAUUGGUGGUUCUUUGUAUUAGGAAAACUCACUAGUUAAGGGAAGUCUGUUUUCAUGAUUCAUGUAUGUUUAACUUAAAAAAAAAUUCUUCCAUCCUUCUCUCCAGUUUCCACUCUACCUCAUAAAUUCAAGUAAUGAAGGAAUUUAAAUAAUAGAAUUUUAUAACUGAAAGGAUUUUGGAGAGAAUCUAUUAACCCUCCUACUACAGUUGAGGAAAUAGAUGUCCAGUGAGGUCAAAUGAGAUCAUGUAGCUAGUUUAAAAACCCAAAUAACAUUUUAGUAGUUUGUUUCCAUUAGUAAACACUGUUCUGUUUGAUUUGCCCUAACAUGUUCAUAAUCAGAGUCAUAAUAAGGAAAAAUCACUAAUAUGUGUGUGGUACUUUCUUGUGCAUACCUCAGUCACUUCUCAAAAGAGGUCUGUAAGGUGUCGGUAUCCUGGUUUCCAUUCAGGGAGAGAACAGUCUAUGAGCCUAAGAGACCUGUCUGUGCCAGUCACUAUCAGAACAGUCUAAUGCUAUGUGUCUUCCUACCUUGGCAAAAGCAUUGGCUGGUCUCUGGACAGUUCUCAUAGACCACAGGAUUGGGCAGGGGGGAGCCACAUCUUCAUGUUAGGGCUCUAACCUGUACCAAUUAUUAACUGUUGUCUCUAUUUCAUCAUUUCUUAAAGGGAAAAAAAAGCACUUUUUAAAGAGCAUGAGAUUUUAAAUUUUUCAAAAGAAGGAUGCUGGAUCAUUAUAAGUAAGGCAUGUUUUAAAGAUCUUCUUAUCAACAGCUUAAAAAUUAGCCAGUAUAUACUGAACAUCCACUGUAUAAAAAGCACAUUAUGGGGUGCUCCAGUAGGUACAGCAGUGAUCGAGACAGAAUCAUAGCCUUCAGGGAAGAGGUAUAUGCAAUGUUCUCUCCUUCCAAAGAUUACCUAGAUAGAGAACUGUUCAUAAGAAAUAUCUUGGUACUGUCUACAUUACUCUUGAGAUAUAAAAUAUAUAUUAUUUCUUACGUCUGAAAUGAGUCAGUUGUUUCUAAAACAAUUUGUAUUAAAGUAUUCACAUUAAAAAUUUGUAAAAUACAGAAAAGUAGAGAGAAAAAAUCAUGAAUUUUUAACAUGGUAAUGAUUAUAUCAGUUUCGUUCUUGGCGUUUCUUUAACUUGAUGGGAUAGCUAAUGUUUUUUGUCAUUGCAUAGCUUUGUAAACUUGUCCUAAGGAUUAUAUAAUUUCAGCAUGAGUUAGUUUCUAAGUAUGUCAGAAAUCUAGCUUUUUUGUGGUAAUUGUUGUUUUACACAAAAUGAUUAAUAAAAGACUCUAAACUAACCUUGGCUUUAGAAAUGCUUUUUAAAUUUUAAAAUAGUGAAUGAGUAGCAGAUUACUUUCUAGUAUUUCUUUAAGGUCACCAAAAUCACUUAACUUGCUUAAAAUAUUGAUGGAAAUAUCAACUACGUACAGUUGACCUAAAUUAGAAAUGGGUGUUUUUUAAAUAGUGAAAUUUAUAAAUAUAAUAUGUAUAUUUUAAAAUACAGUUUAUAUUAUAGAGUUAUGUUCCUCUGUAAUAAUUUCUCUUUACACUGAAUCAUGUUCAGUUUUUAUUAUGCAGAUAAUUUAAUCUUACAGCUUUGAUCUUUUUUAAAAAAUAAAACAGCCAUUUGGAGUCUAAAUUCAGCCAUGUGAUUAUUACAAUGAAAUUCAUCUUAAAUCUACCUAAUGUCCCUUUAGAUAUAAGACCUAUUUCAAUAGAAGGGCGUUUCUUGGUUAGGGUUGCUCUUCCCGAGAGGAGUCUCCUGGAGCAGGAGCCCCUGGGGAGGAGUGAACUGAGCCAGCAGGUGGUCUAAGGGAGGUGCCAGGGAACUGCUGACAGUGACUUGCCUGAAGGAAGGGAGGGAGCAGGAUGGGAGUGGGGUGGAAAGUCCCUUAUUAGCCUGGAGGCUGGGAUGCCCUGACCCUCUGGAAUCCCCCUCCCUUGUAAGAAUGCCAGCCAAAGUAGGAAGGAGGAGCUCCAGCCAGAUGGGGGUCCCAGUGCAGGAGGAAGAUAGUAGGGUGACCACAACCAAAAAAGCUGUCUGACAGGCUUUGAGAUCUCUUGUCUGAGGAACUCCGGCAUAGAUAGUAAGUCAGUAUUCACUUAGAGGAGAGUUUGGCAAGUGAAUAUAUAUGAUGAAUGAAUGAGUAACUGAAUGAACUGCUUUAUCACCAAAGGAUCUGGAUAUUUGUUUCUACUCUCAAACAUUUUUUGAUUUGUUAACUUUUUAUGCCCAAUUUUAAAAGAAAAUGCAAUUUUCAUUGAACUAUGAUUGACUACUUCAUAUUUAUUGAAACCCACACCCUCCAGUACUCCACAAAUGAUUCAGAAAAGCUUACAAUAAAAAAAAUCAGAAUAGAAAAGUGAGUAACGGAUGUGAUUUCAAUUCUCCAAGCCUGUUGUCCUUAUCUGUGAUGGUAAUGAUUAUAGAUGCCUUAUCUUGCUGUGGCAGGGAUGAAAUGAGAUCAU
rnacentral:lncRNA from 1 species